AUUUAGAGGAAGUAAAAGUCGUAACAAGGUUUCCGUAGGUGAACCUGCGGAAGGAUCAUUAAUGAAAAACAUAAUCCGGCGAGGGAAAGGCGGAGAGUUGUAGCUGGCCCAGGCAACGUGCACGCUCUCUUCCGGACUUUCGUCGUAUGGGCGUGGGGGGGCGACCCCUCGCGUCUUCAUAUACCUCUUCGUGUAGAAAGUCUUAGAAUGUCAUCAUCAUCAUGGAGUCGCGACUUCCAGGAGACGCGAUUCUUUGAGACAAAAGUUAUUACAACUUUCAGCAACGGAUCUCUUGGCUCUCGCAUCGAUGAAGAACGCAGCGAAUCGCGAUAUGUAAUGUGAAUUGCAGAUCUACAGUGAAUCAUCGAAUCUUUGAACGCACCUUGCGCUCCUCGGUGUUCCGAGGAGCAUGCCUGUUUGAGCGUCAGUAAAUUCUCAACCCCUCUCGAUCUUUUUCGAGCGGGCGCUUGGAUGGUGGGGGCUGCCGGAGACCUGRAUUCGUUCAGGACUCGGGCUCCUCUGAAAUGAAUCGGCUUGCGGUCGACUUUUCGACUUUGCAUGACAAGGCCUUUGGCGUGAUAAUGAUCGCCGUUCGCCGAAGUGCACGACAGAAUCGUCCCGUGCCUCUAAUGCGUCGACGCCUUUCGGGGCGUCUUCCUUAUCGACGUUUGACCUCAAAUCAGGUAGGACUACCCGCUGAACUUAAGCAUAUCAAUAAGCGGAGGAAAAGAAACUAACAAGGAUUCCCCUAGUAACUGCGAGUGAACCGGGAAAAGCUCAAAUUUUGAAUCUGGCGGUCUUUCGGCCGUCCGAGUUGUAAUCUAGAGAAGCGUCUUCCGCGCUGGACCGUGUACAAG
rnacentral:rRNA from 1 species